GGGAAACUGCCCGAUGGAGGGGGAUAACUACUGGAAACGGUAGCUAAUACCGCAUAACGUCGCAAGACCAAAGUGGGGGACCUUCGGGCCUCACACCAUCGGAUGUGCCUAGAUGGGAUUAGCUAGUAGGUGGGGUAAUGGCUCACCUAGGCGACGAUCCCUAGCUGGUCUGAGAGGAUGACCAGCCACACUGGAACUGAGACACGGUCCAGACUCCUACGGGAGGCAGCAGUGGGGAAUAUUGCACAAUGGGCGCAAGCCUGAUGCAGCCAUGCCGCGUGUAUGAAGAAGGCCUUCGGGUUGUAAAGUACUUUCAGCGGGGAGGAAGGCGGUGAAGUUAAUAGCUUCACCGAUUGACGUUACCCGCAGAAGAAGCACCGGCUAACUCCGUGCCAGCAGCCGCGGUAAUACGGAGGGUGCAAGCGUUAAUCGGAAUUACUGGGCGUAAAGCGCACGCAGGCGGUCUGUCAAGUCGGAUGUGAAAUCCCCGGGCUUAACCUGGGAACUGCAUUCGAAACUGGCAGGCUAGAGUCUUGUAGAGGGGGGUAGAAUUCCAGGU
rnacentral:rRNA from 1 species